AAAUUGAAGAGUUUGAUCAUGGCUCAGAUUGAACGCUGGCGGCAGGCCUAACACAUGCAAGUCGAGCGGUAGCACAGAGAGCUUGCUCUCGGGUGACGAGCGGCGGACGGGUGAGUAAUGUCUGGGAAACUGCCUGAUGGAGGGGGAUAACUACUGGAAACGGUGGCUAAUACCGCAUAAUGUCGCAAGACCAAAGUGGGGGACCUUCGGGCCUCAUGCCAUCAGAUGUGCCCAGAUGGGAUUAGCUAGUAGGUGGGGUAACGGCUCACCUAGGCGACGAUCCCUAGCUGGUCUGAGAGGAUGACCAGCCACACUGGAACUGAGACACGGUCCAGACUCCUACGGGAGGCAGCAGUGGGGAAUAUUGCACAAUGGGCGCAAGCCUGAUGCAGCCAUGCCGCGUGUGUGAAGAAGGCCUUCGGGUUGUAAAGCACUUUCAGCGGGGAGGAAGGCGUUAAGGUUAAUAACCUUGGCGAUUGACGUUACCCGCAGAAGAAGCACCGGCUAACUCCGUGCCAGCAGCCGCGGUAAUACGGAGGGUGCAAGCGUUAAUCGGAAUUACUGGGCGUAAAGCGCACGCAGGCGGUCUGUCAAGUCGGAUGUGAAAUCCCCGGGCUCAACCUGGGAACUGCAUUCGAAACUGGCAGGCUAGAGUCUUGUAGAGGGGGGUAGAAUUCCAGGUGUAGCGGUGAAAUGCGUAGAGAUCUGGAGGAAUACCGGUGGCGAAGGCGGCCCCCUGGACAAAGACUGACGCUCAGGUGCGAAAGCGUGGGGAGCAAACAGGAUUAGAUACCCUGGUAGUCCACGCCGUAAACGAUGUCGAUUUGGAGGUUGUGCCCUUGAGGCGUGGCUUCCGGAGCUAACGCGUUAAAUCGACCGCCUGGGGAGUACGGCCGCAAGGUUAAAACUCAAAUGAAUUGACGGGGGCCCGCACAAGCGGUGGAGCAUGUGGUUUAAUUCGAUGCAACGCGAAGAACCUUACCUGGUCUUGACAUCCACAGAACUUUCCAGAGAUGGAUUGGUGCCUUCGGGAACUGUGAGACAGGUGCUGCAUGGCUGUCGUCAGCUCGUGUUGUGAAAUGUUGGGUUAAGUCCCGCAACGAGCGCAACCCUUAUCCUUUGUUGCCAGCGGUUAGGCCGGGAACUCAAAGGAGACUGCCAGUGAUAAACUGGAGGAAGGUGGGGAUGACGUCAAGUCAUCAUGGCCCUUACGACCAGGGCUACACACGUGCUACAAUGGCAUAUACAAAGAGAAGCGACCUCGCGAGAGCAAGCGGACCUCAUAAAGUAUGUCGUAGUCCGGAUUGGAGUCUGCAACUCGACUCCAUGAAGUCGGAAUCGCUAGUAAUCGUAGAUCAGAAUGCUACGGUGAAUACGUUCCCGGGCCUUGUACACACCGCCCGUCACACCAUGGGAGUGGGUUGCAAAAGAAGUAGGUAGCUUAACCUUCGGGAGGGCGCUUACCACUUUGUGAUUCAUGACUGGGGUGAAGUCGUAACAAGGUAACCGUAGGGGAACCUGCGGUUGGAUCACCUCCUUA
rnacentral:rRNA from 1 species